GGCGGAGCCAUCCUGUCCCGCCUCCGUAAAGAGGAAACCAGUGUCAGCCUCAGAGACGACUACAGAGAUGCCGUAGAGGUUGUGGCUGGUCUGUACGAUCAGGUGGACGAGCUGGUUCACAAGCUGGUGAUGCUGUCCAACCAACGCACUCAGGAACUGGACUUUAUCAUGGAGUUCAAGAGUCUGGAGCAGGGAUUCAAGGAGGUGAGUGACUGGAUUGAGGAGGUUGGAGAGAGUCGUCUGAGAACGCUCGGAGAGCUGGAGGAUUCUCUGGAGCAGCUGCACAGGAAACAGACCCUCUUCAGAGACUUCUACACUGCUG